UUGUAGCCCCGGUCCCCUCGGUGAUGAGGUGGAGCCUAAUUGAUUUGUCAAUGUGGAGCCAUCUGGCACAGAAAGAUGGAGCUCCAACCUGUUCUCCUUCCUGAGAGGGUGUUGGGGGGCAUCAGGAGAGCCGGGUUGGAUUACACACACACACACACACACACACACACACACACACACACACACACACUCACACACUCCUUGGGAUUUUAUGAUAUCUCGUAUUUUUUCUCUCUCAUACAGUACUCACCUUCAUUGAGGACAAAGUGUGUCUUCCUCUGCUUCUUAUUUGAAAUCAUUUGCACUAAUCCAGUGUACUGGUCCCCACAGUGCCCCACAGUACACACCCAGUGAGGGAUGACAGGGACAGAAGGCACGACAGAGCCUGGAGGCAUGGGCCCCCCAACCAAAAAGGAAACACACACAUCUCUUAAACCUCAUGGGUGGGGGACGAGGAUCAAAAGGUCAACGGUGCUGAUGGACGCCAGCGCAGAAACGAAGCCUCCGGUGUCUUAAUGAAACGAGCUUGAGGAAAUGGGGACAGACAGAGACAGAAGGAGAGAAUGGAUGCUGCCUGCACUGAUUAGGAUCCCCCCUCAUCACCGCGCCCCCCAUUUUUCCCUUCAUUUCCCUCCGUUGUCCUUCCUCUGACUGGAACAGGGGCUGAGAUGAGCCACUUUGGCAACCCUGGGGCAAGAAGGUGAUGUCUCCAAGUUGCCCAAGAUGUGGGGGAAGUGUAGCCGAAGCAGAAAUCGCUUUGAAAACACUGACUGACGUGCAACUUCAAACCAGGCACUGAAAUGAGGAGGAGGAGGAGGAGAUGGCACGUCGACGAGAGACCACUGUUCGAGAAACCCUCAGCGACGUCGGGUCAGUUUCCACCUGUGUGGCAACAAACCAGGUAAACCAAAGCUUGUUCUUUUCUGAACCAAACCUAACCAGACCAUAAGCAAUGCCACAGCAUAAAAGCCAGAACUGAAAAAUUGCUGUAGCACAAUUUCA